rnacentral:SRP_RNA from 1 species
AUCUGGGUGCUAUACGGCGAAUGACUGUGAACCAUGUCAGGCGGGGAACCGAGCAGCAUUAAGCAGUAUGUUUCGUGCGAUGUAGUUAAUUCUGUGACU